CUACAACCCCUGCAAAAUCAUAUUACAAAUCCCAACAACAUAUAAAGAGAGGGGAAGACGGGGAACGAACAAGCAACUCAGAUAUUGAAACGCACAUGAGGUUUUAAGGUGCAUCCGUCGGAGGAGACGGCGAUGGCCACGGAGGGCCGCCGGCAUCGCUGCCACCGGAAGUGGAGGGGAGGACGAACAGACUCGGUUGAGUCUGAGAGAAGAGAGAGUGAGAACACGGUUAUGAAAGAGGUAACAAGCAGUGAGUUGAGUAGAAGCUAUUCUUUGGAGUCUAAUGUCGUCUUUAGCGGGUCAUGCUCUGAUAGAUGUAACAUCGGGAGGGGAUGUUUUAAUUAAUUGAUAUUGGUUGUUGAAUGAUUUACAUGUAUCGUGUUACAUGCUUUACAUUGAUGCUAGAUUUUAUUCCGCUGCGAAUUAUGCAAAAGAACCUUAUUUUGAUUUAAUAAAUGAGCAUGAC